ACUCCUACGGGAGGCAGCAGUGGGGAAUUUUCCGCAAUGGGCGCAAGCCUGACGGAGCAAGACCGCGUGAGGGAGGAAGGCUCUUGGGUUGUAAACCUCUUUUAUCAGGGAAGAAGAUCUGACGGUACCUGAUGAAUCAGCAUCGGCUAACUCCGUGCCAGCAGCCGCGGUAAUACGGAGGAUGCAAGCGUUAUCCGGAUUUAUUGGGCGUAAAGCGUCCGCAGGUGGUUUUUCAAGUCUGCUGUUAAAGCGCAGAGCUUAACUCUGUAACGGCGGUGGAAACUGAGAGACUAGAGUAUGGUAGGGGUUGCGGGAAUUCCCAGUGUAGCGGUGAAAUGCGUAGAUAUUGGGAAGAACACCAGCGGCGAAAGCGCGCGACUGGGCCAUUACUGACACUCAUGGACGAAAGCUAGGGGAGCGAAAGGGAUUAGAUACCCCUGUAGUCCUAGCUGUAAACGAUGGGUACUAGGUGUUGACCGUAUCGACCCGGUCAGUGCCGUAGCUAACGCGUUAAGUACCCCGCCUGGGGAGUAUGCACGCAAGUGUGAAACUCAAAGGAAUUGACGGGGGCCCGCACAAGCGGUGGAGUAUGUGGUUUAAUUCGAUGCAACGCGAAGAACCUUACCAGGGCUUGACAUGUCGCGAAUCUCGGUGAAAGUCGAGAGUGCCUUCGGGAGCGCGAACACAGGUGGUGCAUGGCUGUCGUCAGCUCGUGUCGUGAGAUGUUGGGUUAAGUCCCGCAACGAGCGCAACCCUCGUUUUUAGUUGCCAGCAUUUAGUUGGGCACUCUAGAGAGACUGCCGGUGACAAACCGGAGGAAGGUGGGGAUGACGUCAAGUCAGCAUGCCCCUUACGUCCUGGGCUACACACGUACUACAAUGCUUCGGACAAAGGGUUGCGAGCUAGCGAUAGCAAGCUAAUCCCGUAAACCGAGGCUCAGUUCAGAUUGCAGGCUGCAACUCGCCUGCAUGAAGGAGGAAUCGCUAGUAAUCCCAGGUCAGCAUACUGGGGUGAAUACGUUCCCGGGCCUUGUACACACCGCCCGU
rnacentral:rRNA from 1 species